rnacentral:rRNA from 1 species
GACGAACGCUGGCGGCGUGCUUAACACAUGCAAGUCGAACGGAAAGGCCCUGCUUUUGUGGGGUGCUCGAGUGGCGAACGGGUGAGUAACACGUGAGUAACCUGCCCUUGACUUUGGGAUAACUUCAGGAAACUGGGGCUAAUACCGGAUAGGAGCUCCUGCUGCAUGGUGGGGGUUGGAAAGUUUCGGCGGUUGGGGAUGGACUCGCGGCUUAUCAGCUUGUUGGUGGGGUAGUGGCUUACCAAGGCUUUGACGGGUGGCCGGCCUGAGAGGGUGACCGGCCACAUUAGGUCUGAGAUACGGCCCAGACUCCUACGAGGGGCAGCAGUGGGGCAUAUUGCACUAUGGGCGGAGGCCUGAUGCAGCAACGCCGCGUGCGGGAUGGCGGCCUUCGGGUUGUAAACCGCUUUCGCCUGUGACGAAGCGUGAGUGACGGUAAUGGGUAAAGAAGCACCGGCUAACUACGUG